AACAUAAUCAUUUUCAGAUAUAGCUCAAAAAUUUAUUUAUACCAAUUAGCAUAACAAGGUUUAUAAUGAAACAUAACAAAGGUUUGAAAUUAGUUUAUUACAGAUUCAAUAAAUAUAAUAAUUAUAAUUGUAGAUUACAAAUGCAAGUGAUAAGAAGUAGGGUUCAUAGCUCUAUGCAGAACUUUGUUUUCGAUGCUUAAUUCAAUUUCCCAAUUUAAAAAUGGAAGAUAAACAUAGCUUCUAUACUUUCCUUUUUAAAUAAGAUAGAUUUAGUACACUAUUAUUAUCAAUUAUUAGCUACUUUAUAAUUACUUUUAUUCUUAGUUUAUAGAUAUGUAGACAUUUGUGGCUUUAGCAUAAUGGUCACUGUAUAUUUAAGGAAUAUGUCACAUAUAAGAAAGGUACUAGUAAGUAAAUUAGCCGUUUUCACUUAUAUAUAUGGGGGGGGG